rnacentral:rRNA from 1 species
UACGUAGGGUGCGAGCGUUGUCCGGAAUUACUGGGCGUAAAGAGCUCGUAGGCGGUGUGUCGCGUCGGCCGUGAAAACCUGCAGCUUAACUGUGGGCGUGCGGUCGAUACGGGCAUCACUGGAGUUCGGCAGGGGAGACUGGAAUUCCUGGUGUAGCGGUGAAAUGCGCAGAUAUCAGGAGGAACACCGGUGGCGAAGGCGGGUCUCUGGGCCGAUACUGACGCUGAGGAGCGAAAGCGUGGGGAGCAAACAGG